AUCCAGCUGACGAGUCCCAAAUAUGACGAAACGCGCGUCCACUGCUAU
rfam:Schistosoma rodhaini strain Burundi genome assembly, scaffold: SROB_scaffold0006860